UUUCCUUUUUGGCACGUACUGUGUCCACUUUUAUGUAUGCGCUCUCUCGCUCUGUGCUAUACGAUGUUGAAGACCAUUGAGAGGUACUGCUCGUAGGACGCUCUGUGCUAUACGAUGUUGAAGACCAUUGAGAGGUACUGCUCGUAGGACACUUGGAUCCAGCCAUCUUGGUCUGUGUCAUACCGCCGGAACACGUCGGUCAACCUCUGUGGGGACGAAAAACAAACAAUGCUGUCAUUCUCAGUGUGGUCAAUCUGAGGUUACAUAAAGAA